AUUGAACGCUGGCGGCAUGCCUUACACAUGCAAGUCGAACGGUAACAGGUCUUCGGAUGCUGACGAGUGGCGAACGGGUGAGUAAUACAUCGGAACGUGCCUAGUAGUGGGGGAUACCUACUCGAAAGAGUGGCUAAUACCGCAUGAGAUCUACGGAUGAAAGCAGGGGAUCGCAAGACCUUGUGCUACGAGAGCGGCCGAUGGCAGGUUAGGUAGUUGGUGGGAUAAAAGCUUACCAAGCCGACGAUCUGUAGCUGGUCUGAGAGGACGAUCAGCCACACUGGGACUGAGACACGGCCCAGACUCCUACGGGAGGCAGCAGUGGGGAAUUUUGGACAAUGGGCGAAAGCCUGAUCCAGCAACGCCGCGUGCAGGAUGAAGGCCUUCGGGUUGUAAACUGCUUUUGUACGGAACGAAAAGCCCCGGGUUAAUACCCUGGGGUCAUGACGGUACCGUAAGAAUAAGCACCGGCUAACUACGUGCCAGCCGCCGCGGUAA
rnacentral:rRNA from 1 species